UUGAUAGUUUUCUUUUAUUAAAAAAUAUAUCAAUAGAAGAAAAUAAAAAAUUAAAUACAGCAUCGGAACAAUAAAUCAACUCUCAUUUAUACAAUUGAUUCGGACCAUAUUUUUACAUCAGUGAUGGUUGGAAAUGUGAUAAGAAGCAAAUAUUUCAAGUUUUGGAAUGCAAAAAAUUUUAAAACAAUUUAGUGUAAAAAUAUGGCCUUGUUUUGUUUAAAAAUGAGACCUAAUUGAACAAGAUCAUGAAAAUAUAAGAAUUAUAGUGAGAUUCCAAUCCAUUUGGAAGAUACUGAAACACAGUUAUAAAAACCAAGCAAUGAUUCAUUACAUUAUCUGGAUUUAUAUUUUUUGCACUAAAAAAUGUUGACAAUUUAACAAAAUUAGUUACUUGUGGAUACUUCACUUAGAAAUAUUAAAUUUUCUAUUAAAAUAUUUUAUACCGAUUAUACUGAUGAUUAUGUAGAUAAAUGCAGAAAAUAUUCCAUACAACACCAUUAGAUAAAAAAGGCUUUAACAGUAAGUUUGCAAUUUUGAAAUUUGUAUAGCCAAUUACACCGAACAAAAUUUAAAUAUCCAAAUCGUACCUAUACUUGAGUUGGGGUGGAUUUUUAUCGAAACAAGUCAUUCUUAACGAUCCAAAUACUAAAGUAGUAGUUAUUUUUGUCCAUAAAUUAAGGGGGUACAAUCAAAAAUACAAUACUUCGUCCGACAUCCUCUCUUCCCUACCUUCUAAUAUCGCAUAAGUACCGUUUCCCUUCUAUACAUGCAGUUAAUUAAAACCUCUUCACCUAAAUACCCAAUAGUCAGAAGCAUUCUUGACAUCCAACUUUAGUUUUAUUGCAAGUCUUCCAUCUCACAAUGAAAACUAAACUGCAGAUCACUGUAGUAAAGUAGCCUUCAACAACACUUCGGAAGUCUGUAGUCCAAUCUCAAGCUCAAACUAAUCUAAGGGGCACGACGGGCCUUUGUGCUUAACGACCUUCAUUAGUCUAUAGUCCAAUCUUAAGUCCAGCACGUCAGACCUGAUCGAAAUCCUUCUGGAUAUCCAUGAAGAUGGCAGAGGCACACAUUGCUUUGGAAUUAUAGGUACAGAAGUUCUAGAUUCUGUCCUUGAUCAAACGUCCAAAGACUUUACCCAAAUAGGGUGUUAAGAUUCAGGUUUGGUAGGGUCUUUACCGGGUGCAGCAUGGGACAAGAGAGGGAAUAUGACUUUGCAAACUUAUCGUGUUAAAACCAUUUAUAAUUUCUGUUUCAAAAGUUGGUUUUUUAUAUAUAAGAGGUAUAACUUGUCACAUAUACUGCAAUUAAUUUCUUCGUAUUAUAAUUAUAAAUAACGAUUGAAAAUAGUUUAUUUUUGUGAAACUACUGCUACAAAUCGUGGAAUGACAAAAUAUUUUUCCAGUCGAUUUAAAAAAUAGUCUUUUGAGAUUCAUAAAUAUAUAUGAAAAUAGAUGAAACACAACCAAUAAUUAAUAAAUUAUUGAAUAUAAUAUCCCUAAUUUUAGAAAUUUUCGUUUCAUAACAAAAUUUAAUUAAACACAAAUUAAUAAUUAACAUACAUGACUAUAAAGAAACUUUACACAAAAUUUUAAUAUAUAAGGUAAGUUAUAGUGAACAGAGACGCAACAAUGAGGGGUGUCAAUCCAAUUUUUCCUUAAAACAAAACUAAUUUAACUUAGAGUGUUUUUACUAUAAUGUUACAAAUAUCCCGUUAGUGAUUCAAUCAAUUGAUUGUUUACAUAUUCAUAGAUUUAAAAAAGUAUUAUAUAUAAAAUAUUUUGAACUCACGCAAGUUGCAAUCCGUCCGCAACUGUUUCGAUACAUUAGGCAACCAACCUUACAAUGUGACAAGUGACAUUCGAACCGGUUUUUGUUAAUACUGAUUACACAUAAAAAAUUAAAGCAUUUUCAUAAUUUUAGUGGUCCUUCGAAUAUUUACAACAUUCAAAACCCUAAUAUAUGAGUUAUUUUAUAUUUUGAUGAUCCUUUAUAAACUUCCAAGGCCCUAUAACACAAUUCUAUAUGCGUCUUAGGUCGUAAGUCGAAACGCGUUGCAAGUUCGAGUAGAUUGUGUCAAGACAACGAUGCAAGACGUAAGUGUCAGAUAUCAGAGUUGAACUUUUAACUACAUGUCCUGCUUCAUCUUGUGAAGCUGAAACGCAGUUUCAGUGCAUUGUGUGGGUUUAAAAUGUACCACGAGUGAAAAAACAUUAAGUAAUUUAACAAUAUGCCACGUUCAUAAACGCAUAUUAGAUUUCUUAGAUUUAGCAGCACUAACUCAAUCAUUUAUAAAUGUAUAUGUCCACUCAAAACAAAAUAUUUCUUAUAAUCAUCUUAAUAAGUCAAUGUGGCUACCUUUCGUCAUUAUAAAGAAUUCUCUUGACAUCCCCUUUGAGAGUUGUUAGGUUGUUGCGCCCCUGAUACUAACAAUUACCUUAUCUGGUCCUUCGAGCCGGAUAUGAAUCUAUGAAAAACUAGACGGACCAUAUAGUGUAAAUCGAUGUAAUGUGUUCUGUAAUGUAAAUACUGUUAUUUUUCGUGAUUGUAAAUAUAUUGAAACUAGAGUAAAUUUACUAGAUGUGUUACUAUUCUAAUUUCUCGUUGUAAAUAUCACAAAACUGUCAAUUUAAUUGAAUAUUAAGUUGAAUUUAAUGGAAUAGUUGGUUAUAUUUAUACUGAAUACUGUUUACUACAACUAGGAUCAGGUCUUCGGAGCCUAAUGAGGUUAUUUGUUCAUAUCCAAAUCGAAAAAUUGUGGUGACAAACAAUAUGGUCAGUAAGGCGAUAUUACUAAUAUAACAAAGAAAUCAAUUUAAUUUCUUUACAAUUAACUCAUUUUUCUAAAAAUUAACGAUAUAAUACUCAACUUUUUUAAAUUAAAUAAAUGAUAAAAAAUUUAGGUUAACAAAUUUAGUGUCAGAAUAACUAACAGCUGACUAUUCUAAUAUUAAGUAAAUAAGUAUCAGUUCCAACAAAGCAAAUUAUUGUUAAGUCUUCAAUGAAUAAGCUAAGUACUAAAUUAGUUCGGUUGCAGUUGAUUUUUGGUGAUGUAUCUUUAUGUUUCUUCAUGUGUAUUUAGUGGACGAAGUACAAUCCUCGGAUCUCUCUCCACCAUGCGAUCGGUAUCUUCAUUGCUAAAUUAAACAAGUUAAAUAUGUAUAAAACACAGCUACCAAAACAACAAUUGAUACUAAUUGUUGAAUUUAAAUUUCAUAUUUAGAAUUAGACGUGAUAACAAUGUAAAAUAAAAUGUUUCCCUUGAAACAAUAAAUUAUCACACUGUAGAUAUGAAAAAAUCGUUGAUAAUUUCUUGUCAAUAAGAAUGGAACAAUGGAAAUGCAAUUAAACUCACACAAGAUCCUUAUUUUCCUGUGACAUCAAUUUGCUCUGUUCAGUAUCUUCUUGUUGUGCUGGUUGAUAAGCUACCUCAGAUACUGGGGCAUAUUGUGCUGUUACAAGAAGAUCCGUAGAAGGGUUUACUGUUAAAGCUUGUCCACCUGAAGUAUCUAAAUGGUCUUUAGUAUGUCUCCAGCACAUCCUCCUCGUUAUACGGACAAAGAAAACUGAAAAACAGGACCAGUAUCGGUUUUGUUAUUUGUUUUAAUAAUAUUUAGUGAAUUGAAAAUGAAACAUUAACAAACAUCUUGUUCAAAUAUAUUAAAAACAACAACAAUCAAGUUUUUUUGGAUAUAAUUAAUUUUUUUGUACUUUGUAGCAAUCAUAAUUUAUUAUCAAGUGUAUAUAAUUAAUUAUAUAGAUAAUGAAUGUUUGUAAAUGACAAUAAAUAAGGAGACAUGUCUCAAAUACAGAUAACAAAUAAAUAAAAAUUAUAGACACCUAAUUAUUCUAUUUGUAUUGUAUGUGCGUCAAAUGUUAUAAAUAUUACUGAAAACACAAAUAGAUUCAACUAUUUUUACAUUUAUUGUUAAAAUUAGUAUCUGUGUUAUAAACUUGUUAAAAGUUGUACAGUUACAUUUAACAUGAUUAGCAACUGUUAUUUUUAAAAUUUGCACUUAUGUGACACAGUAAACAUACUCUAGAAGUAAAUUUUUUGGGGUUUAAACCAAGACGUUUUGAAUUUAAUUUUUGUUCUUCUAACUAAACCAAAAAUGCACUAAAUACCAAGAUUUUUGUUUGCGAUCCUUGAAUUGUUACAGAUUUUGUUAGAAUAUCAAAUUAUUUGGCACAAUUGAGUGGUUUUAGCAAUUGUGUAUCAAAUAAAAUUAUUACCCUAAUUAAAUGGUUCAUUUAUAAUUUCGAGUGGAAAAUAUGACAGAAUAGUUGAAACAAUUUUUCAAAUCUAUAGAUAUAUGAUUAAAAUUUGAUAUAAAGUUAUUCUUACCAAAUAAUAGUAUGGAAAGUGCGAAGAAUAUAGCUCCAAAAAUUGUGAUCAGCAAAAAUAAAUCCUCCUUAUUUUCUGAGGUAUCAGAAUAUCCCAAUGCACCUUGCACAAGCAUCACAAGGCUAAAAUAUAAGAUAUUCCAAUUUUUACAUCAAAAUUAAAUUUAAAUCAAAACAAUUUACUAAAAAAUCAACAAACACUUUAUUUAAUCUCUAGAAAAAAUGAAAUUUAUUAUAUAAUAAGAUUGAAAAUCCUUCUGAGAACAUUACUUUUGUAGUAUUAUCGUUCUUUUCUAUUUAUUUAAAUUAAUAACAUUUUUUUUAAAUAACACUUACUUACCCAACAAUGAAACAAGCUACGCAUGAUGAAACAAGAAUUAUAGGUAAUACAUUUCGAGAAGGCAAACAACUUAUCCCACAUGGUCUCCUAGCAUUUUGUGAAACUGAAGAAGCUAAAAAACUUAUUGGUCUAUCUUGCCAUCUGUCUUGAGGGCCAUUCGAUUCAUAUGUUAUAGUUGUAGGUUGAUAAACUGCUCCAGACAUUUCCAGAGUUUUUUUUUUUUAUAUACUUAAGUCACUGAAAAUUAUCCCAAAAACACACACGCUAUGUUGAUAAAUAAAUCGGAUAUGGCGUUUAAAAACAGGUUUACUGAUUACUUUUUGAAAUUAAAAAUUCAAUUAGUCAUCUAACAUUAUUUACCAUAUCAAAUAUUAGAUUAGAAGUUAGAACAAGUUUUUAUUAUCAAGUUACAUUAAAAUAAAACAGUAAAAUAAAUUAUUUACCUAUUACUC